UACGAAGGGGGCUAGCGUUGCUCGGAAUCACUGGGCGUAAAGCGCACGUAGGCGGAUUGCUAAGUCAGGGGUGAAAUCCUGGAGCUCAACUCCAGAACUGCCUUUGAUACUGGCGAUCUCGAGUCCGGGAGAGGUGAGUGGAACUGCGAGUGUAGAGGUGAAAUUCGUAGAUAUUUGCAAGAACACCAGUGGCGAAGGCGGCUCACUGGCCCGGUACUGACGCUGAGGUGCGAAAGCGUGGGGAGCAAACAGG
rnacentral:rRNA from 1 species